CCUACGGGAGGCAGCAGUGGGGAAUAUUGCACAAUGGGCGCAAGCCUGAUGCAGCCAUGCCGCGUGUGUGAAGAAGGCCUUCGGGUUGUAAAGUACUUUCAGUCGGGAGGAAGGUGUCAAGGUUAAUAACCUUGGCAAUUGACGUUACCGACAGAAGAAGCACCGGCUAACUCCGUGCCAGCAGCCGCGGUAAUACGGAGGGUGCAAGCGUUAAUCGGAAUUACUGGGCGUAAAGCGCACGCAGGCGGUAGAUUAAGUCAAGUGUGAAAUCCCCGGGCUUAACGCGGGAAUUGCCUCUGAUACUGGCCAGCUGGAGUGUGUGAGAGGGUAGUGGAAUUCCAGGUGUAGGGGUGAAAUGCGUAGAGAUGUGGAGGAAUACCGGUGGCGAAGGCGACCACCUGGCACAUAACUGACGCUGAGGUGCGAAAGCGUGGGUAGCAAACAGGAUUAGAUACCCUAGUAGUC
rnacentral:rRNA from 1 species